GCAGGCUGCAACUCGCCUGCAUGAAGCUGGAAUUGCUAGUAAUCGCGGAUCAGCAAGCCGCGGUGAAUACGUUCCCGGGCCUUGUACACACCGCCCGUCACACCAUGAGAGUCGGAACACCCGAAGUCCGUAGUCUAACCGCGAAGGGGGGCGCGGCCGAAGGUGGGUCCGGUAAUUGGGGUGAAGUCGUAACAAGGUACC
rnacentral:rRNA from 1 species